rnacentral:rRNA from 1 species
UGGGGAAUAUUGCACAAUGGGCGCAAGCCUGAUGCAGCCAUGCCGCGUGUAUGAAGAAGGCCUUCGGGUUGUAAAGUACUUUCAGCGGGGAGGAAGGGAGUAAGGUUAAUAACCUUAUUCAUUGACGUUACCCGCAGAAGAAGCACCGGCUAACUCCGUGCCAGCAGCCGCGGUAAUACGGAGGGUGCAGCAGUAUUCGGAAUUAGAUCUGGGCGUAAAGCGCACGCAGGCGGUCUGUCAAGUCGGAUGUGAAAUCCCCGGGCUCAACCUGGGAACUGCAUUCGAAACUGGCAGGCUGGAGUCUUGUAGAGGGGGUAGGAAUUCCAGGUUG